rnacentral:lncRNA from 1 species
AUAAUCUAAUCCAUUCAUAUGGAUCCUUCGAGGACAUAACAAUGCAAAGCUACAUACAUAUAUUGAAUCAAUACACACUAAUAUUUAAAACUAUUUUCUAAAAUUCUCUAAAAUUUUCAAAAAGGCAGGGGGAAGAGAUUACUAGAGAGGAGAAAGGAGAAUAAAAGAGGAAAAGCGAGUGAGAGGGAAAAUCCUUUUCACCCUCACACGUAGAAAGAUUGGGAAAGAAGAACUAGUAAAAGUGAGAGAUGGCAAACAAUGAAAGAGGGCAUGGUACCCAUUCACCAUUACCACACACACAUACAGUGGAAAGAGGGGAG